GCGCCGGUCGGCUGGCCGCACCCACGCGGCGCAGCUCCCAAAGUUGCAGACAGCCCGGCGAACCGCGCAAUGCGCUUCUUCUGCCUGCAGCAGAGAAAAGGAAAGAAAACUCCGCAGGGGCUCCGUUGGCUUCUCCACGAGUGACAACCAUGUUUUCCCAGAUAGAAGACCGGAGCCCUGCUCCUUUGCGAUCCGCCGAGGGCUGCAGAGAGCAUCCUCAUCCAUUUGGGCACCCCUGCCCAGGAAGAGCCCGGCCAUCCCUUUCCGGACUGGAUCCUUAAGAGGUGAAUUUUCUUCCGUGGAUUCCGAUUUGCUCCGUCUGACCAGCCUAGGCAAUCCAGCAUCGCGUGGUACCAGUGCCGCUGGGCACACUGGCUUCACGCCGGCUCCGCCUCACCAGCAAGCGCAUUCCCAGGUGGUCAGGCUCAGGAUGGACCAUGAGCUUUCAAAAAGGAAAAAGGUGGAAAUCCUCAACUAUGCUGCCAUCUGAAUAAGUGUUUCUUUGUAGAUGCACAGAGUCAAGGAAAAUUACAUCCCUGCAUUAUGUAAUGUACCAACAACGCACUUACCCACUGUUUUAAUCUAGGUUAUUCUUGAAAGCAGAGCCUGAGACAAAGGUAGACACAUUCUAUUUAUGAGUCUAACACCCAGGAGCAGGAAUGAGAGAUAGGGGAGUGAACUGGGGAAAAGGGAAACUAAGUCCGAGCAAAACCAGAUACUGCUCUUAUCAAGUGGUCCACCCCUAUUAAUGGCUACAUAAUGCAGAACUUUCUCAGGAUUCUUCUUAAACUUUAUCUCAGAACUGUCUGCCUCAGGGAGAAAGGAGAAGUAUUUCUCCAUCAGCAGCCACCUCCUGUGUGUUGAGGGCUGCUCCUUUGGGGCAUUAACCCACUGCCUCCACCACCCCAACCCUCUGGGCUGCAAAGAGCUAGCUGACAGUCCAGCUGGUACCUUAGCAUCACACAUUGCUGCAUCAGAGAGGUCUUAAGACAGGAAGCUAGAGUCUUGGUGCAUGCUCGAAGUGAGACGGUGUCAGCACAGAGCAGGGUAAAAUCUUCCCGUUAACUCUUCACCAGAGCUAUGACUGGAAUCAGAGGUUGAAAAGAUGUGAGACUGUACCCAAGAAGCAUCUUAUAAGCCUACGUAAUAUACUGUUAGACUCAUCGAAAUCUAUUUCCUCCCUUCUUUAUAAUCAAAACUUCAGUGUCCAGAAUAAAGUUGGCAGAAGGGUUAAAUUGGAAAGUUAAAUGUACUAGAAGGUGUACAUUUAUAAGUUUUGACCUUGAGUCGUGUUCAAGGAGAAAGUGACAUUGGAACUUGGAAAAUUUAAAAAUGAUUCUACUUGAAAAAUUUGACCAUUGCAUAGAAAUAUUAGCUAUCGUCUAAUCUUUUGUAAUCUUAGAAACAAUCGUGAAUUGUUUGGUGAAAAAUGAAAAAAUAACCAUUUCUUAUGUCUCCGUGACCUUUAUAGACCAAUGUCACCAACUUUUCCUAAGGUAAUUGUUUCCUACUGUCAAAUAGCUCUAGUGAUAUAAAUCUUAACAAUCAAUGAAGGGAAAACUGGUGGAAACAUAGGAGGAAAAAUACUGGGAUAAUUUUCAUCACAAAGUAUUGGCAUUAACAUUGGUUAGAAUAGGGGAGAAACUGCAUGACUUGACAACUGGACAUUCCUGUAUGUUGUAUGAGGCCCUGUCUUAACAGAAAUAGUGAUGUCAUCAUCAUCCUCUCUUAUUUGGUCUUGAAUUGCCACCAAUCGGAUAAAACCUUUGAAUUAUUUAACUCAAUAUAUGUUAAGUUUCUACUAUGUGCUGUGUAUUGGUACUAUAAAUAUGAAUAAGACAUAAGAUAUUACAUUCAAAAACAUCAGAAUACAUGUUCUUUUAAAGUAUACCCCAAAACAUUUACCAUGUGUUCUGGGGCGCAUGUUAGGCUGGAUCACAAAUCAAGUCUCAAGAAUUUCAAAAGAUUGAAAUCAUAUAGAGUAUGAAUUAAACCAGAAAUCAAGUACAUAAAGGUAACAAAAAAUUUCCAAAAUGCAUUAAUUUAAGGAACAUACACCUCAUGACCCAUGAGCCAAAAAAUAAAUCACGGCAAAAUUGCAAAAAUAUUUUGAAAUGAAUUUUAAAGAAAAUACUUAGCAUAUUAAAUACUUAGCAUAUUAAAGCUCUAAGUACAUAUGUUAGAAAUUUUACCGAAAGGUUGGCUAUCAGUGUUUCCAGAAGCCAGGGAAAAAGUUUAUACAAUUUGAUCGCUGAGGCAGGGAAACAAAGUGAGACCUCCGAUCGCCCUGCCUUUCUGAGGUGAGCACUCUGGAUCCCAUCGCAGGAGAUCAGAGUCUUGCUGAGUUGAGGAGAGGAAGAUUGGAGUUGAUACUGAGAUAGCUUGAAUUUUCAGGACAAAGUAUCAACAAGGAGGAAGGUAGACAAAAAAAUCCAGAAAUCUAUGUAGAGACCCCAUUGUGUACAUUGCGGAACACUAAGCCUAACAAUUCUCAAAAUUAGCGUGAGAUUGGGAAAUAUCUAAUUUCCAUCCAGCCACAGUGGAGAGUCCUGACUGAAAACCAGGCAUUCGCUAAAGAUCCCAGAAAGGUUGUGUGUUACAUACGUAGGGCUAAACUAUCCUGACUAAAAACUACACUACACUUGCUCCUCACCCCCACAAAAAGCUUAAAAACAAGCCUCAAUAGUAUAAAGCUGAUCUGUAAGUAACUAAACUACCUGCAGAACAAAGUCCAAAUUUAUUAGUUCCAGUACUCCAAAAAAAACACAUGUAAAAAAAAAAUAGAUUUACAAGACAUUUAUUUGGGGAAAAAAAGAAUGCCUGAGGGUUGAAAUGGAGAGGAAGCCAGAGAGACAGAGUCCUCAGAAUACAUAAAAUUUCUGGCCUCCAUGGAGGUGUGAUGGUUAAUUUUAUGCAUGUCAACUUCGCUGGGCCACAGGAUGCCCCAUAUAUGAUCGAACAUUAUUUCUGGUUGUGUUCAUGAAGCUUUUUCUGGAGGAAAUUCGCAUUUGAAUUGAUGGACUGAAUAAAGCAGAUUGCAGUCCCCAGUGUGGAUGGGCUUGAUCCAGUCUUCUAAGGACCCAAAUAAAAUAGGUGGAGGAAGCUUGAAUUUUCUGCCUGACUGUGGCGCUGGGACACCCAUCUUCUCCUGCCCUUGAACUGGGACUGACACCAUCAGUGCUCCUGGUUCUCAGACCUUCGGACAGCAGACUUGGGGCCUUCUCGGCCUCCAUUAUUGUGUAAGCCAAUUCCUUAUAAUAAAUAAGGGUUUAUUUAUUGAUAAAUCCUUAUAGGUUGAUUAUAAAUCCUUAUUAAUUGAUUGAUAGAGCCAUAGGUUUUAUUGAUCCUGUUUCUCUGGAGAACCCUGACUAAUACAGAAGGAGAGAGGGAAGAAAGGCGGGUUGAGUAGCAGAAAGCUUAGGCUGUAGCACAAUUCCGAUAAAGUUUAAGGUCAGCUGAUGAAGAACACUCAAACCAAAGUCGCCCAUUGGAGGAGCCCCCUACCUCACAGGAAUAGGCCUGCAUUAUUAGUAUACCUUCUUCAUUCAGUUAUUGUUAUUCUUAUGGAAACAACCCAUGGGAAAUGUAGCCUUGGCAUGACUGUAUCAAUGGAUUCAGAGAGCAGUAGCGGGGACCCCCCCAGUCAAUUACGUUCCACAGCAAGAGAUCUCAGUGGUGCAUAUCCACUGCUGGCUCAGUCCACCCCUUGGGCUGCACAGCUCUAUUCAGGCCUAGCUGCCAGGAAGAUUACUAGGUAUCAUUGUCAACUCAGGCUCUGUGCCCAGUAAACCUGGAAAUGUCUGGAUAUUCUUCCUUGCCAGCAUAUAGUCAUAAAUCUAUUUGGGGAAGAACUUGCCAUUUCAUCAAAGUCUGUACAUGUAUAGCAGGGUUCUUCCUCCUAGUGACCUGUGACCUAGUAACCCAGCCACCUAUGGGUUCUUCCAUCUGUGGCUUCCUUACCUGAAAAGUGCUUCAGGUCUAGGAACUGAGAAAGGGAUUGUGAUGUGUCAUUGGAGCCAGUGCGGUUCCAUUCGUGCCUUAUUUGGUUAUAGGCGUUAAGCAGCAUUCUUGUUAGAUGCCCAUCUAUUUUGCCUAUAGGGGUGUUACUUUCAAUUAAUUAUCUCCUAAACACCCUGUGAAUCAAACCCCCUUAACUACCCCUCCAAUUUCACCAGUUGUUAUAGUAAUUAUGGCCUCUUGACUUUUGGUAAUUAAGCACUAGUCCUCCAGAGCCCUCUAUUACUUGAGGGUCCAUUACCCCUGAAUCAUAUUAACAAUCCCAGCUCUGUGACCACCUCAUUUACCAUCAGCCCUGGUCUAAAGAGUAAAGCCACUACUGCACUUAGUGAUACUGGUACCUUCUCACAGGCUCAUUCUUGGUGGCCUUAGUGAAUUGUCACUAUUUCAUGACAUAUUCAUCACAGUAUAUCCAUCACAUAUUCAUUCAUCUGACCCUUAUGAAGGUGUGAUGGUUAAUUUCAUCACAGUACAUACAUGCCAUUGUAUAGCAGGUCCUUAACUAAUAUAGCAACACCAACGUUCUCAGGCAGAACCAAUAGACCCUGUUGAAGGGCAGGCAAGCCCAGAGCAAACCAUCUAUAUGCAGUUCUUUUAACAGCCUGCAAGGCACUGUAAGAUUAGGGAGACGUUUAUCGAAUUAUGUUCUGUGGAAAACUAGUUCCAUAGGAUAUGAACUGAUGUCAGGAGAAAAAUUAAAUUAGAAAUUUGCUUCAGUGCCAGAUUCUCAAAGCCAUUCGUAUGUGAAUGUUUAGUGCAACUCUCCAAAAGAGAUGAUUUGAUGUGUUACAUGUGGCAGUAGUAUGAUGUGCAGCCCAGAUCCCCCUUCAAAGAACGGCUUGCUCCCCACUUGCUGGGUGUGAUGUUAGCAGGCAGCCUGCAGCUGUCAGCCCUCUUCAGGAAUUGGCAUAGCUGUAGAAAACCACUUCACCUAAGGUCACACUUUUUUGUGGAGUGGCCCAUAGCCAAGGAUUGAUCAGUGUGGAGAUACAAAGUUGUUCUCUUGCCCAUCUGAGGACAUCUCCGAGGGCCGUUUUAACUCCAGAGCUCCCUGUGGGGUUGGCCAAGGCUGUCAUUGGACCUACAUUAUAACUCAUUUUCUCCCAAUUCCGCUUCUCUCUCUCUUUGAACAAAUGUUUGGCAAAAGGCACUUCUUAAUAAAUAUCCUGCAAUUAAAGUAUAUCUCAGAAUCUGCAUCCUGGAGAAUACUGUCUGAGACACCCCACUUUCUAAUUUUGUUUGCCCAUCAAAGCCCAUUCCCCGCCCCCCUUUUUUUUUUGACAGAGGCUUCUUCUUUCACCUGGAAGGGAGUGCAGUGGUGCAAUCUCGGCUCACUGCAGCCUCUGCCUCCCAGGCUCAAGCAAUUAUCCUGCCUCAGCCUCCCGAGUAGCUGGGAUUACAGGUACCCACCACCACGCCUGUCUAACUUUUUGUAUUUUUAGUGUAGAUGGGGGUUUCACCAUGUUAGUGAGGCUAGUCUCAAAUUCCUGACCUCAAGUGAUCCGCCCGCCUGGGCUUCCCAAGUGCUGGGAUUACAGGUGUGAGCCACUGUGCCUGGCCUAAAACCCUUUUUCAUAGAGUACCUAACAAGAGUAGGCCUUAAGAAAUAUAUUCUGGAUGCUGGUAAGUGCAGGUGUGAGAACUAAGUACCUAUGUGGAAAGUAAGGGGAGGGGUACCCGAGACUUAAAUCUCAGCUUAUGAAUUCCUUUGAGAUUUGAAACUAGCUUAAUUUUGAUGUGUAACUCUAAUGCUUAAAGUACUGCAGGAUCUACUAUCUAUGGAGGUGCUACGGAGAGGAUCUAAAUAUUAUGUGACCUAUGCAAAUAAAUUUUCUUUUCUCUGUAACAGUGUUUAAAACUCUAAGAUAAUCCGUGGUUGUCAGGUAAAAUGCACUCAUGUCUAUCUGACAGAUACAAAUGUUUUGCAUUCCAGCUGCUUUUAGAUAUUUAACGGGAGAGGAAAAGAGAAAAUAUGAUUAAAGCCUUUGAAAGUCCAUUUCCAAGAAAUAAAAACUGCAGUAGGAAUUCUACAAAACUGAAAAAUCUUCAGGACUGGAAGAUCUAUCCAGAAAAGCCCAGUGGAUUAUAAUAACUUAUUAAAAUAUUUGUUUGGCAAGCCACUGACUAAUACCACUUUAAGAUAUGAAUGCAUUACCAAAAAAAAUUGGAGUGAGUAGUUUUUACAAGUCUUUGAAAUAAUCAUAUUUGUAUUUUGACACUAAUUUGAAACAAGGAGCUGGCUUGAAAUAUUAAACCUAAGUGAUCAGAGACAAUGAGCUAUCAGACUGCAUGAUCAACGUAGAGCAAUCUCCACAUAAGAUGAGAUGCAUGCAGCCUCUACAAAUUUGGCUUGGGGAGGAGUUUGCUUCGCUCGCUUGAAUAAGCCACUGUCUAUGGCUCACAAGGGUCCCGUUCUUAAUGAGGUGGUGCGUAGCAGCAACACACUGUGAAUCCAAAUAGCAGAUGGCAACACUGUUGAGUAGGCUGGCAGUCUGAUGUCUAGCCACCAACUGGCAGCAAUCAUUAUUAAACUGAUUCAUGUGCCCAGGGAAAAUCUUCAUAAGAGUCUUAGCAAAUGUGAGCAGCAAGAAGCAAAUGAUCUGCUAUUCCUAUCUGCUAUGAGUACUACCUAUAUUUCUUAAAAUAUUUUUCCCCAGUGCAACCUACACAAAGAAAUGGCAUGUUAUGUGCACUGGAGGCCCUAUUCCUUUCCUAUAGAUGCAUGUAUACCUUUAAACAUGAUAGCUGUGAUUUCUCUAUUUGGUGAAUAGCUUUCCCUUGACGGAAAUAGCUUCAUAGCAUUCACCCUAUGGAUUUGUUGCACAUAUUCAAUGAUAGGCAAGCACUCAUAGAUUCUGUAAAUAAAUAACUGAACAUAUUCUAUCUCACAUAAUGAAGCAAUGGCCUACAUUGCUCAUAGUCCAUCUACAUGAGACAGGUAACUCAUCCUUGGGUGAAAAGUUUGUUACACUCACACUUGGUUAGGAAAGCAGACUAAGAAAGGCUCUAGCUUUAGAAAACUUAUGUAAGGAUCUUUCUACAAGAAAAUCUUAAAGGUAUACAUUUAAAAGUUAAGUCUUUAUGCUGGGUGCAGUAGCUCAUGCCUGCAAUCUCAGCACUUUGGGAGGCCAAGGCGGGCAGAUCACGAAGUUAGGAGCUUGAGACUAGCCCGGCCAACAUGGUGAAACCCCAUCUCUACUAAAAAUACAAAAAAUUAGCUGGGCGUGGUGGCACAUGCCUGUAAUCUCAGCUACUCAGGAGGCUGAGGCAGGAGAAUUGCUUGAACCCAGGAGGCAGAGGUUGCAGUGAGCAGAGAUCACACCAUUGCACUCCAGCCUGGGCAACAGAGCAAGACUCCGUCUCAAAAUAAAUAAAUAAAUAAAAGUUCUGUCUUUACAAACCAAAAUGCUAAACAAAUAGCAUUUUUUUCCAAAUGUUGAAAGUAUGUGUUGUUUGUAACCAAUAAAGCCAAUUUCCACAACUUUAUAUGUUAAUAAACAAGCCUUAAGGUAAGGCUUUUAUUGAAAAACAAAACCCUGCUUUAUUCACUUACAAAAUACUUACAGUUAAAUUAAAAAACAAAAAUUCUAGCCAUUCUCUAAAUCUUCAUUACAUUUUUAAAAAUUAAGAUACUAGAAUUCUUUUACAUGCUCAUAAUAACAAGGGGAAAGCUGCAGUUAAAUGUCAGAUAUUCCACAUGUUAAAAAAUAUAUUUUAUUUUAUGUUCCAUUUAUGGUAAUUUUUUAAUAGAAGCAAAAUUUAAAAUCUUUUUUAAGAAGUAAUAAAAUCACUCUGAAUGGAUUAUUUUUGGCUUUAUCAAUUUGAUAAAUCAAUCCAGGCUGAAAUAUCAUUUAUAACUUCUAGAGUGAGUGCCCCUGCUCUUGUCUCAAAUAUGAGAGUGAUUAUCAACCAAAGUUAGAUACCCCAGCCCUGGCAGUCAAACUCAAAAGCAAGCUUGCACGCCGUCUCUCAAGUCUCUCAGCAUUCUCCCCAAACAAGAAAUCAAGUGCCAG
rnacentral:lncRNA from 1 species